CCUACGGGUGGCAGCAGUGAGGAAUAUUGGUCAAUGGGCGCGAGCCUGAACCAGCCAAGUCGCGUGAGGGAAGACGGUCCUAUGGAUUGUAAACCUCUUUUGUCGGGGAGCAAGGCCUGCCACGUGUGGCGGGAAGGAGGGUCCCCGAAGAAAAAGCACGGGCAAACUCCGUCCCAGCAGCCGCGUUAAUACGGAGGAUGCGAGGGUUAUCCGGAUUUAUUGGGUUAAAGGGGUGCGUAGGCGGAAGGUUAAGUCAGCGGUCAAAUGUCGGUGCUCAACACCGGCCUGCCGUUGAAACUGGUCUUCUUGAGUGAGCGAGAAGUAUGCGGAAUGCGUGGUGUAGCGGUGAAAUGCAUAGAUAUCACGCAGAACUCCGAUUGCGAAGGCAGCAUACCGGCGCUCAACUGACGCUGAGGCACGAAAGCGUGGGGAUCGAACAGGAUUAGAUACCCGUGUAGUC
rnacentral:rRNA from 1 species